rnacentral:rRNA from 1 species
CUACGUGCCAGCAGCCGCGGUAAUACGGAGGGUGCGAGCGUUAAUCGGAAUAACUGGGCGUAAAGGGCACGCAGGCGGUGACUUAAGUGAGGUGUGAAAUCCCCGGGCUUAACCUGAGAAUUGCAUUUCAGACUGGGUAGCUAGAGUACUUUAGGGAGGGGUAGAAUUCCACGUGUAGCGGUGAAAUGCGUAGAGAUGUGGAGGAAUACCGAAGGCGAAGGCAGCCCCUUGGGAAUGUACUGACGCUCAUGUGCGAAAGCGUGGGGAGCAAACAGGAUUAGAUACCCUGGUAGUCCACGCCCUAAACGAUGUCAACUAGGUGUUGGGUUGUUAAAGACUCGGUACCGGAGCUAACGCAUUAAGUUGACCGCCUGGGGAGUACGGCCGCAAGGUUGAAACUCAAAGAAAUUGACGGGGACCCGCACAAGCGGUGGAGCAUGUGGUUUAAUUCGAUGCAACGCGAAGAACCUUACCUACUCUUGACAUCCAGAGAACAUUC